rnacentral:rRNA from 1 species
ACGUGGGCAACCUGCCUGUAAGACUGGUAUAACUUCGGGAAACCGGAGCUAAUACCGGAUAAUUCUUUCCACCACAUGGUGAAAAGCUGAAAGACGGCAUCUCGCUGUCACUUACAGAUGGGCCCGCGGCGCAUUAGCUAGUUGGUGAGGUAACGGCUCACCAAGGCAACGAUGCGUAGCCGACCUGAGAGGGUGAUCGGCCACACUGGGACUGAGACACGGCCCAGACUCAUACGGGAGGCAGCAGUAGGGAAUCUUCCGCAAUGGACGAAAGUCUGACGGAGCAACGCCGCGUGAGUGAUGAAGGUUUUCGGAUCGUAAAGCUCUGUUGUUAGGGAAGAACAAGUACAAGAGUAACUGCUUGUACCUUGACGGUACCUAACCAGAAAGCCACGGCUAACUACGUGCCAGCAGCCGCGGUAAUACGUAGGUGGCAAGCGUUGUCCGGAAUUAUUGGGCGUAAAGCGCGCGCAGGCGGUCCUUUAAGUCUGAUGUGAAAGCCCACGGCUCAACCGUGGAGGGUCAUUGGAAACUGGGGGGACUUGAGUGCAGAAGAGAAGAGUGAAUUCCCACGUGUAGCGGUGAAAUGCGUAGAGAUGUGGAGGAACACCAGUGCGAAGGCGACUCUUUGUCUGUAACUGACGCUGAGGCGCGAAAGC